rnacentral:rRNA from 1 species
GGGAAACCCAGUGUGACUCGUCACACUAUCAUUAACUGAAUCCAUAGGUUAAUGAGGCGAACCGGGGGAACUGAAACAUCUAAGUACCCCGAGGAAAAGAAAUCAACCGAGAUUCCCCCAGUAGCGGCGAGCGAACGGGGAGGAGCCCAGAGCCUGAAUCAGCAUGUGUGUUAGUGGAAGCGUCUGGAAAGGCGCGCGAUACAGGGUGACAGCCCCGUACACAAAAGCGCAUGUGCUGUGAGCUCGAUGAGUAGGGCGGGACACGUGGUAUCCUGUCUGAAUAUGGGGGGACCAUCCUCCAAGGCUAAAUACUCCUGACUGACCGAUAGUGAACCAGUACCGUGAGGGAAAGGCGAAAAGAACCCCGGCGAGGGGAGUGAAAAAGAACCUGAAACCGUGUACGUACAAGCAGUGGGAGCCCCACCACCAAAGCAUUUGCUGUACCGCGUUGACGGAGCGAAGCGACGUCAAACCGAUAAAACAGCAGUGUAAAGUGAGCCGCAGGGCGCUUUGCGCGACAGCGCAAAGGCAGGCGGUUUCGCGUAGCGAAAGCGAAUGCUUUGGGGUGGGGUGACUGCGUACCUUUUGUAUAAUGGGUCAGCGACUUAUAUUCUGUAGCAAGGUUAACCGAAUAGGGGAGCCGGAGGGAAACCGAGUCUUAAUUGGGCGUUAAGUUGCAGGGUAUAGACCCGAAACCCGGUGAUCUAGCCAUGGGCAGGUUGAAGGUUGGGUAACACUAACUGGAGGACCGAACCGACUAAUGUUGAAAAAUUAGCGGAUGACCUGUGGCUGGGGGUGAAAGGCCAAUCAAACCGGGAGAUAGCUGGUUCUCCCCGAAAGCUAUUUAGGUAGCGCCUCGUGAAUUCAUCUCCGGGGGUAGAGCACUGUUUCGGCUAGGGGGCCAUCCCGGCUUACCAACCCGAUGCAAACUGCGAAUACCGGAGAAUGUUAUCACGGGAGACACACGGCGGGUGCUAACGUCCGUCGUGAAGAGGGAAACAACCCAGACCGCCAGCUAAGGUCCCAAAGUCAUGGUUAAGUGGGAAACGAUGUGGGAAGGCCCAGACAGCCAGGAUGUUGGCUUAGAAGCAGCCAUCAUUUAAAGAAAGCGUAAUAGCUCACUGGUCGAGUCGGCCUGCGCGGAAGAUGUAACGGGGCUAAACCAUGCACCGAAGCUGCGGCAGCGACACUGUGUGUUGUUGGGUAGGGGAGCGUUCUGUAAGCCUGUGAAGGUGUGUCGUGAGGCAUGCUGGAGGUAUCAGAAGUGCGAAUGCUGACAUAAGUAACGAUAAAGCGGGUGAAAAGCCCGCUCGCCGGAAGACCAAGGGUUCCUGUCCAACGUUAAUCGGGGCAGGGUGAGUCGACCCCUAAGGCGAGGCCGAAAGGCGUAGUCGAUGGGAAACGGGUUAAUAUUCCCGUACUUGGUGUUACUGCGAAGGGGGGACGGAGAAGGCUAUGUUGGCCGGGCGACGGUUGUCCCGGUUUAAGCGUGUAGGUGUGUGUUCCAGGUAAAUCCGGUUCACUUUAACACUGAGGCGUGACGACGAGGCACUACGGUGCUGAAGCAACAAAUGCCCUGCUUCCAGGAAAAGCCUCUAAGCAUCAGGUAACAUCAAAUCGUACCCCAAACCGACACAGGUGGUCAGGUAGAGAAUACCAAGGCGCUUGAGAGAACUCGGGUGAAGGAACUAGGCAAAAUGGUGCCGUAACUUCGGGAGAAGGCACGCUGACACGUAGGUGAAGUGAUUUACUCAUGGAGCUGAAGUCAGUCGAAGAUACCAGCUGGCUGCAACUGUUUAUUAAAAACACAGCACUGUGCAAACACGAAAGUGGACGUAUACGGUGUGACGCCUGCCCGGUGCCGGAAGGUUAAUUGAUGGGGUCAGCGCAAGCGAAGCUCCUGAUCGAAGCCCCGGUAAACGGCGGCCGUAACUAUAACGGUCCUAAGGUAGCGAAAUUCCUUGUCGGGUAAGUUCCGACCUGCACGAAUGGCGUAAUGAUGGCCAGGCUGUCUCCACCCGAGACUCAGUGAAAUUGAACUCGCUGUGAAGAUGCAGUGUACCCGCGGCAAGACGGAAAGACCCCGUGAACCUUUACUAUAGCUUGACACUGAACAUUGAGCCUUGAUGUGUAGGAUAGGUGGGAGGCUUUGAAGUGUGGACGCCAGUCUGCAUGGAGCCGACCUUGAAAUACCACCCUUUAAUGUUUGAUGUUCUAACGUGGACCCGUUACCCGGGUUGCGGACAGUGUCUGGUGGGUAGUUUGACUGGGGCGGUCUCCUCC